UACGGAGGGUGCGAGCGUUGUCCGGAAUUACUGGGCGUAAAGGGCGCGUAGGCGGACAGUUUAGUCAGAGGUGAAAGCCCAGGGCUCAACCUUGGAAUUGCCUUUGAUACUGGCUGUCUUGAGUUCGGGAGAGGUGAGUGGAAUGCCGAGUGUAGAGGUGAAAUUCGUAGAUAUUCGGCGGAACACCAGUGGCGAAGGCGACUCACUGGCCCGAUACUGACGCUGAGGCGCGUAAGCGUGGGGAGCAAACAGG
rnacentral:rRNA from 1 species